GACGAACGCUGGCGGCGUGCUUAACACAUACAAGUCGAACGGAAAGGCCCUGCUUUUGUGGGGUGCUCGAGUGGCGAACGGGUGAGUAACACGUGAGUAACCUGCCCUUGACUUUGGGAUAACUUCAGGAAACUGGGGCUAAUACCGGAUAGGAGCUCCUGCUGCAUGGUGGGGGUUGGAAAGUUUCGGCGGUUGGGGAUGGACUCGCGGCUUAUCAGCUUGUUGGUGGGGUAGUGGCUUACCAAGGCUUUGACGGGUAGCCGGCCUGAGAGGGUGACCGGCCACAUUGGGACUGAGAUACGGCCCAGACUCUUACGGGAGGCAGCAGUGGGGAAUAUUGCACAAUGGGCGGAAGCCUGAUGCAGCAACGCCGCGUGCGGGAUGACGGCCUUCGGGUUGUAAACCGCUUUCGCCUGUGACGAAGCGUGAGUGACGGUAAUGGGUAAAGAAGCACCGGCUAACUACGUG
rnacentral:rRNA from 1 species